AUCUAAUGAGUGCAAGUGUUUGCAGGUCCAUUUUUAAAACCAGCAGCAGUGUUUGCCUAUAAAGGAGAGGGACAGACCACAGGGAAAACUUUGCUUUCCAGGACCUCCAAGGCCCUGCCCCUCCCACUUGACCUAGGCAGCCAGAGAUUGGCUGACCAAAGCUGCAUCUGGGCCCACCCAGAAGACUCCUUGCAGGAAAAAGAAACCUCUUCUGACCCCGCUAUUCACCCUGCGACUGCAAAACGCCCAAGUUUAGGCAACACCCCAAUCUAUGGACCUCUUCCUUUGGGGAAAAUGCAACCCCAUCCUGAACAUGAGCUAUUCCAUUUUUUUGGAUGAAGUCUUCCCGCCACCAGUUCUUUUGGAAACAGUUCUGCCUUCUGUACAAGUUCUUAUCCGUACAUCAUUAGAUCGAGCCCCUGCAUUCCAAUGGUGAUUAUUCAGCAUAGAAUUAUUUAUUUUGCUAUGGUGGAUGCUUCUUAAGAUUCAGAGCUUUCUACACAAGAACCAUUUUCUCCAGCUAAAGACAGAACAUUUUCUAAGCAUGGAGAGAAACGCAUCUUUUUGUGACAUAUCUCUAAAGAUGCCAGCCCCAGAUGUGGAUAAAACAUUAGGAGCAAAAACUACCAGACCACAGCCAUCACAGUCUGGAGAACUCACAACAGCCAAUUUUCUAAGUGGUUGCAUCUGGAUCUUCUCCCCUAUGGGACCUCAAACCACUCUACCUGUAAAAGACCCAGUGUUUCAGCUUCUGCAGUAAUGCCAACACAUCAGGUUGCAAGGCUGCAAAACAAUUGAAAAAUAAAAACAAACUAAAAGCAACAAAAUAACAUUCAUGGAAUAGCUCCUGAUGGUCUCCGACCUCCUUGAAGUUAGACACAGGUAUAUGGACCACCUCUAUUGACUUCAAAUCCUCCUGUUUUCAUACUGCUACUGGACUUAGUAUUGCUAGUUCCUUUGCUUUGUUGUUUUGGACCAAUGUUAUCCAUUUUUCCUGGUUAAGCACAUGAAAGAUAAUAUACAGUAGCUAUGCUUUAUAUUGUCUUCUUCGUUCCUCCGCAAGAAAGAAAAAAGCAACUAAAGAAAUGUUGUGAGUCAUUUUAAAUAUCUAAAUUAUUAAAAGAGGUUUGAGUAACUCCAGGACUUGCUGCAGACCAUGUUCAAUUCAGAAAAGGAAGUGAAUUUAAGCGUAACUUUAAAU